AUGAGGUGAUAAUGAGGGAGAUGAUAGGUGGCUGAAUUCUGGAUCUAUUUUGAAGCGUAAACCAAUAAGAUCUAUUGAUAGAUUGGAUAUGUGACAGGACAGCAGUCAAAAAAGAAAAUGCCACCAUUUUUGGUUUGAGAAUCAAAAGGAGGGAGUUUCCAUUAGCUAACGUGGAGAAGGCUAUGGGAGAGCAAGCCCCACCUCCUGAUUCCAGAAAGGGGCCUAGCAGAGUACCGAGGAAGACAGAUGAGUCUUUUCUUCCAUUGGAGUUGAUAAACUGAGUUAAGUCCUAAAGCUAAGGCUGAAAAUAGGGCAACUUGGUGUCAUUUGGGUAUAGGCAGAUGAUCUUGAGAAGAUGAGCCACACCAAACAAAUGAAGUAGAAUGCAUUUUGACACUUGUACACAAAUGGAGCACAAAUUCUUGAUCCUUGGAUAAAGAUUAUUAAAAGUAGAAAAGGGAAGAAGAGACAGGAAGAGGCCUGAAGAUACUUCCGCUCUCACUUUGAAGAUGGAGGAGGCCACACACCAAAAGUGCAGGUGGUCUCUCGAAGGUGGAAAAGGUAAGAGAGUUGAAUCACUUGUAGAGUCUUCAAAGAAUGCAGCCCUUUUGACAAUUUCACUUUAGCUGAGUAGAAUCCAGUUGAC